UACGUAGGGUGCAAGCGUUUUCCGGAAUUAUUGGGCGUAAAGAGCUCGUAGGCGGUUUGUCGCGUCUGCUGUGAAAAUCCGAGGCUCAACCUCGGACCUGCAGUGGGUACGGGCAAACUAGAGUGCGGUAGGGGAGAUUGGAAUUCCUGGUGUAGCGGUGGAAUGCGCAGAUAUCAGGAGGAACACCAAUGGCGAAGGCAGAUCUCUGGGCCGUAACUGACGCUGAGGAGCGAAAGCGUGGGGAGCGAACAGG
rnacentral:rRNA from 1 species